UUGUUUGAUAUUAAGGAUGCAAGGUUUGCUGUUCCACGCUUCGCUAGAUUUAUGGUGCCACGAAUAGAUUACUGGCUUUAUCAGCAGCGGACACACGCAAGCAUACAUAAUCAUCCAGUGAGCAAUACGCACUUGAGCAUUUUAGUAUAUAAUAUACGCCAAUACUGAUAAAAUCAGAACAAUCGCCAUUGAUUAUACGGUCCAAACAUUUCGAUUUACAUCUCUGCUUUAUAACAUUUAUAUUGGCUGGUCCUACGAGAUUAUGCUGAUAAUAUAGAAGAGUGUGAACAGAACACCAAGCUCAGUGCUUUAUUCACUUCAUUCACGGCAGCGUGCGGACGCAGGAUUGUAACGUCGAUAAAGACAAAGUGCAUUGUUCCUAAAUGGCUUUCCUAAUUGUAGCUGGAGUGUUGCUCGUAAUAAAUACAGUGUUUUUGGUUGGAUCUUUAAUCUAUACGCUGAAGACUACUACGGGAAAGGUUGAUCCCGUGGCACCCUCUCGGAUGGACCCGCGCUUGAGUCUUCAACCUCAAGAGCUAUUGUACCAAGCCAUUGUGCGCAUAAGUGCAAACCCCGUGCCUGACAUCGACAAGCUAGACAGCCAGACAAAGCAAGCUUCGUAAAAGACCACCAAACUGUGUACCUGAACUUUAUAAAUAUGUAA